UACAGAGGUCUCAACCGUUGUUCGGAUUCAUUGGGCGUAAAGGGUGCGUAGGCGGUCGCGUAAGUCAGGUGUGAAAUCUCAGGGCUCAACCCUGAAACUGCACUUGAUACUGCGUGGCUCGGGUACUGGAGAGGAGACUGGAAUUCCCGGUGUAGUGGUGAAAUGCGUAGAGAUCGGGAGGAACACCAGUGGCGAAGGCGGCCUUCUGGGCAUUUCCUGACGCUGAGGCGCGAAAGCGUGGGGAGCGAACCGG
rnacentral:rRNA from 1 species